rnacentral:rRNA from 1 species
UCGGGAAUUUUGGGCAAUGGGCGAAAGCCUGACCCAGCAACGCCGCGUGUGGGAUGAAGGCCCUCGGGUCGUAAACCACUGUCAGGAGGAAAGAAAAGUCGGCCGGAUAAUACUCGGUCGACCUGACGGUACCUCCAAAGGAAGCACCGGCUAACUCCGUGCCAGCAGCCGCGGUAAUACGGAGGGUGCAAGCGUUGUUCGGAAUUACUGGGCGUAAAGCGCGUGUAGGUGGUCGAGUAAGUCGAAUGUGAAAGCCCCGGGCUCAACCCGGGAAGUGCAUCCGAAACUGCUCGACUAGAGUCCCGGAGAGGAAGGCAGAAUUCCCAAUGUAGGGGUGAAAUCCGUAGAUAUUGGGAGGAAUACCGGUGGCGAAGGCGGCCUUCUGGACGGUGACUGACACUCAGACGCGAAAGCGUGGGGAGCAAACAGGAUUAGAUACCCACGUAGUCCCUGAGCGGGCUGGCAAGGCGCAU